UAGUAUAAAAUUGAGUUUAAAGAAACACAAUAAGGAUUAUUGUGUUGACACUAUAGUUAAUCUAUAUAUUGAAUGUGUUAAAUAAUGUUAUUUGUCUUUACUACUAAGUAUGCACUUUUACAACCAACAUUUAUAAGGCACGUAUAAAACAGUAUAAUAAUGCAUCAAAGGUUCAUUUUAAUAAGCAAGCACUUACUAAAUGUUCUGAAACCGCGAGCCAGUGGAAUAUGCUGUUUUUUCGUCCGCGAAAAAAAGAAUAACACUCGAAAUUAUAAUUAAGACUUCUGCUAACGUUAUAAUAUUUUAAGUUACUGAAGCCUCUUUAUGGCCCAAAUCUGAUCAAACAAUCACGGAAACCCUGUAACAUGUCUGAUUGGUAACUUACUUUUACUUUAAUUUCUCAGAAAGCAUGUUUUGUGUUUAAUGAUUUAAAAAAAAAAAAAAAAAAACGUAGAAAUUGCGUUAACAUUAACUCACCUGUAAAUAAACAUUAACCAUUCAUGGAGUCCUUUAUGGGAUCCUGAAAAAAUCGAUCCAGUCCUGAUCGAUUUUUUCUUCUUUUGGACGUGGCUCUGUUUGCGAUUGCACACCCUUAAUAAAAAAAAAAAAAAGAAAAAGAAAAAAAAAAAGAAGAUUGAUUGUACUAAAGUAAUCAGUAGCCUAACUGUUAAAUAAAUACAUUUAAAUAAAUUACUUUUUUCUCCAACCCACUUACCAGGCAUAUCCAUCUAUUCUGUUGUCUUUGACAAACUUCAUUUUUCUUCUGCAGUGUCCACAUCGCAUUAUUUUGGCUAAUAAUUUUUUUCGCUGCAUCCAUUUGAUAAGCUUUAUCUUAUCAUUUUUUUCGUGCAGUCGUGAUACUGUAUGUAAAGACACCAUAUUUUAAAUUUCGCGCCUAGCUGCCUACCUGCGCGGUUUAUUUCUAUACGUGUAAUAUACGUCAUCGAACCGCGUUAUCACGUGACCUUAGUAACGGCCUUUAUUGGUUAGAAAAGGAAUCGCUUAGAAUCCUGGAGAGACACCUACACAACUGGUCCACUAUGGCCAGCAAAAGAGUGAAAAGGAGAGGACAAAAAAUAUGGGAUGAAGAGACUGUAGAGAGCCCCAAAAAUGUGACACAAGAUCUGCAAGCUGCUAAAGAAGUAACGUUAGAGAAGCAUGUAGGAGAAGACCAGAGAAUGGAAGAUGAAGAUCAUGUGUCCAGCAAGGAGAGUGAACAGUGUGAUGAGACUCUGUUCAGUGAUAAAACCAGCUCCCUGAAGUUGCAGCAGAAAAAUAAAAGACUGCGGAAAAAAAUUAAGAAAAAGCAAGAGGAAAUUGACACCUUGAAGAAAAAGUUGAGAGCAAGAACAGGGAAAUCAAAAAAGUACAAAUCCUGAGAUUCAGAUGAUUCCAGCUCCACCUCCAGCUCCAGCUCCACCUCCAGUUCCACCUCCAGCUCCACCUCCAGUUCCACCUCCAGUUCCUUGUUUUCAUCUACUUCAUUCUCCAAAAUGAAGAAACCCCACAAGAAAAGUAAAAAGAAGCACCGUCAUCCUCUGGCAAUGGCAAGAGCUCGCACAACUGAUGAUGUGGUACAUAGGUACCAUAAAGUUAUGAAGGCCUAUAAGAGUCAGGGGAGCAUGACUAAGGCAUUUAAAAUGGUAGGUGUGGAUCGGAACACACUGGCGCUGUCUGCUCCCCUGGCAGAAAUUGCAAUUGCAUGUCCAAAAUUCUUAAAGAGCCUUCCACCAUUUAACCUCAGAAAAGAGAAGCUUUUAGACUACUCUAAGCGUUGUGCGGAGUCAAUGACUCCAGAGGUCAGCACUAAAAUUGAAGAGCUAAAAGCUAAAGGCAAGCUUCUGCCAAUCAAGUACAAAUACAGAUAAGCCCCUUAAUAUUUAAUAGUUUAAUAAUGUUAUAGUUUUAUAUUGGGGCUAUUUUUGUUUUUUAUUUAUUCAUUUAAUUUGUUUCACAAGCAGUUCCACUAUGUUAGAAUGCACUUAAAAUGUGUUUAAGUAAUAUGUUUUGCUUAGCAAUGUAUUAAAAGCCAUUCUAUUCUAGUGUUCCAUUGUUUUAAAGCUUAAUAAUAAA